rnacentral:siRNA from 1 species
AUAAAAGAGGGAUGCAACACGAGG